UGUAAAAUACUGCGGUUUAUAGUUAUUUACAAAUGUAAGCUUUGGUAUAAGCUGACCUUUCUAUAGCGUGCUGCAUUGGUAAAUGAAAAAGAGCAGGAAGAGCGUCGUGUUUCUGCAUCGUCUCCAGCUGCCAUCCCACCGGGACCACUGCCUUUCAGCCACUGGGAGCUGGGACUGCGGAGGAAAUUCAGAACGAUCGAUACCAGAGCACGGGAUCAGUCCGUGCGCCGCGAUAUACAUAUUCACAGCCUGGCAGUUCUAGGAGCCUGGGUAGGCAUAAGGGACUGGUGAGAAGAAAAAAAAAAAAAGGUUGAUUUAUGAUGAUCUCAAAAACAUGGUCUCCAAAGAUGUAUUCUGCAGCUCUGAGACCUCGGGUUUAAGCUCUAUUAAUUUUACAGAACUGUCUGGGAUUACCCAUCUGUUUAAAGGUUAACUGUCUUCACACUUAUGAAAUGGGUAUCUCUGUUUUGGUUCUUACUUUGUUCCUGUUAAUGAUUUAUAAAAUACAAAAUGCAAAGCCAGUGAAAUAGCUUUAAAUCUUCACUAUGAAACACCCACCUGACCAAGUUUUUGAGAGACACAAAGUAUCACUCAUGUCCUGCCCAGGACACCUUGGAAAUCCGGCCGCUCUACGCGCCCCGUUUUGAAUAAAGCAGAAAGAAAAGCUCCCCCCCCCA
rnacentral:lncRNA from 1 species